UAACGCCCUACCACUCAUGGGAAGAAUUUCCCAGCUACAUAGAUCCACUUGACUCGUGUGACUCCUGGCAAUAUUUGCGUCUUUCAAAUUUUAAACGUAAAUCAGUCUGUUCGAGGAGGUUGGGGACAAUGGUUAUGGCACACAAACAAUUGGAUUAAACACGUUAAGAAAAUAUUUACGCACAAUGUGCAAGGCUGGGAACAUCGAUACCAAAAGAAAAAGAUUCUCAAAUCAUUCUGAAAAAGUGGCGUGAACAAGAAGAUACAAAGUGGGCGUUUUGAUGAAAAUACAAUCGUGUCAUCGAGCAAUAAUUGAAGCAAUUUGCUUAGAUCUACCAAAAAGCUAAGUUCUGCUAAUGUUCAAGUGAAGAAAGAAAUAUGUCCUACAGCACCACUUAUACAGAAGAGACAAAGACUUUGCUGGUUUUUUGAACACAUGGGAAACACGUAUGUUGUUUCAUUUCAAGCUACAUGCACACAUGUGUGUUAGCUUUGAAUUUUUGGUGUGAUGUUUACUUUUUUUGAUUUUGUUCGUAAGUGUUAUAUUGUUUUUAAAAUUGUGUGCAACAUGAAAUAUUUACAUCAUAACAAGAUUUUAGAAAUGCUUUCAAUUUUAUCUCCUUGUUAUAGUUAUUCAUGUGUGCACAAUAGAGUUACUACAAUCAUUAAUGUUCUUUAACCUCAUCUGUAUUCUCUUUUUAGAAAAUACUAAUAAGGAAAUGAACAAUAACACAAUAUCUAAAUGAGAUUCUCUCUAUAUGCAAAAUACUAAUUAGUUUGGAGAAUACUAAUAAGCUAUUGUAUUCCAUUGUUUUUGCUUUAAUCCCACAUUUUUCAUUUUUCCCGAGCUUCAAAGCCCACGCCACCUGAUCAAUUUUAGACACUAUAAGAUAUUCAUCAAAGAAUUAAAAUAUCAAAAUACUGAA